GUCUAUGGCCAUGCCACCCUGAACGUGCUCAAUCUCAUCUGAUCUCGAAAGCUAAGCAGAGUCGGGCCUGGUUAGUACUUGGAUGGGAGACCACCUAGGAAUAUCAGAUGCUGUAGGCA
rnacentral:rRNA from 1 species